UUAACAAUAACAUUUUCAUCAUUCACACAAUUCAAUCAAAUUCCAUGGGUUUAACAAUGACAUUUUCAUCAUUCACACAAUUCAAUCAAAUUCCAUGGGUUUAACAUUGACAUUUUCAUCAUUCACACAAUUCAAUCAAAUUUCAUGGGUUUAACAUCUACCUUUUCAUCAUUCACACCAUUCAAUCAAAUUUCACGGGUUUAACAUCAAGAUUUUCAUCAUUCACACAAUUCAAUCAAAUUUCAUGGCUUUAACAACAACAUUUUCAUCAUUCGCACAAUUCAAUCAAAUAACAUGGGUUUAACAACAGCAUU
rnacentral:lncRNA from 1 species